rnacentral:rRNA from 1 species
GCUAAGAAUCUACGCCCCCCUUUAACUCAAUGAACCUUAAAAAUUCAUUUUACUAAUCAAAACAUUUUUACAUCUUAGUAAAGGCGAUUGAAAAAUUUCUAGGAGCUAUACUAAUAGUACCGCAAGGGAAAGAUGAAAUAAAAAUGAAACAAAUAUUAAGCAUAAAAAAGCAGAGAUUCAACCUCGUACCUUUUGCAUCAUGGUUUAACUAGUCAAAUUAAGCAAAACGAUUUUCAGUUUAACCCCCCGAAACUAAGUGAGCUACUUCAGGGCAGCUUAUCGAGCAAACCCGUCUCUGUUGCAAAAGAGUGGGAAGACCUUCAAGUAGAGGUGACAGACCUAACGAACUUAGUGAUAGCUGGUUACUCAAGAAAAGGAUUUAAGUCCGACCUAAAGUCCCAUUAAUAACCGUAAAUAGCUACAUUACUUUAGAGCAAUUCAAAUAAGGUACAGCCUAUUUGAAAUAGGAUACAACCUAUAGAGACGGGUAACACCUACCCACGGUAAUUAAGUAGGCUUAAAAGCAGCCACCUUUAAAAUAGCGUCAAAGCUUCAUUAUCUUUAUACCCAAUCCCACCAAUAACCCAGAACCCUCCAUCACUAUUGAGUACUUCUAUACCCCUAUAGAAUAUUUUAUGUUAAAACUAGUAACAAGAAGCAGAACUUCACUUAAAUGCAAGUGUAACCCAGAAAGGACACACCGCUGGCUAUUAACAUCCAUGCAAAUAAAUUAACAACUCAACAAGAAAAACUUAAUUUUCAUAACGUUAAUCUAACACAAGAGCAUUUCAAGUAAGAUUAAAAGAAAAAGAAGGAACUCGGCAAAUAUUAACCUCGCCUGUUUACCAAAAACAUCGCCUCUUGACUUAAUAUAAGAGGUCCAGCCUGCCCAGUGACUCUGUUCAACGGCCGCGGUAUCCUAACCGUGCGAAGGUAGCGUAAUCACUUGUUCUUUAAAUGAGGACUAGUAUGAAUGGCACCACGAGGGUUACACUGUCUCCUUUUUCCAAUCAGUGAAACUAAUCUCCCCGUGAAGAAGCGAGGAUAAACAUAUAAGACGAGAAGACCCUAUGGAGCUUUAAACUAAAUAACACCUGCCUCUUAAUACUACCACUUCAGAGUAAUAAACACUUAUUAUGGCCUAUUGAUUAUUAGUUUUAGGUUGGGGUGACCGCGGAGUAAAAAACAACCUCCACAUUGAAUGGGGAACACCCCCUGAGUCACGAGCCACAACUCUAUGCACCAAUAAAUUGACAUUCAUUGACCCAAUAUAUUGAUCAACGAACCAAGUUACCCUAGGGAUAACAGCGCAAUCCGCCUUAAGAGCCCCUAUCGACAGGCGGGUUUACGACCUCGAUGUUGGAUCAGGGUAUCCCAGUGGUGCAGCCGCUACUAAAGGUUCGUUUGUUCAACGAUUAAAACCCU